AGCAGCCGCGGUAAUUCCAGCUCCAAUAGCGUAUAUUAAAGUUGUUGCAGUUAAAAAGCUCGUAGUUGAAUUUCGGGAUCAAUAUGUUGGUCGUGCCUUGGUACGUACUGGCAUUAUCGAUUCCUACCUUCUGAAGAAUCUCGAUGUCAUUAAUUUGGUGUCUUGGGGAAUCAGGACUGUUACUUUGAAAAAAUUAGAGUGUUUAAAGCAGGCUCGCGCUUGAAUACAUUAGCAUGGAAUAAUGAAAUAGGACGUUUGAUUCUAUUUUGUUGGUUUCUAGGAUCGACGUAAUGAUUAAUAGGGAUAGUUGGGGGCAUUAGUAUUCAAUUGUCAGAGGUGAAAUUCUUGGAUUUAUUGAAGACUAACUACUGCGAAAGCAUUUGCCAAGGAUGUUUUCAUUAAUCAAGAACGAAAGUUAGGGGAUCGAAGACGAUCAGAUACCGUCGUAGUCUUAACCAUAAACUAUGCCGACUAGGGAUCGGAUGAUGUUAAUUUUUAAUGACUCAUUCGGCGCCUUAAC
rnacentral:rRNA from 1 species